ensembl:lncRNA
GUGUAGUCUUACCCAGCUUUCCAACGCUGGAAUAAUACAACACGACUCCUUUUUGUUGACGUGUUUUCGUCGCGUCCGUGUACGAUCGGUCAGAUGUAGGUCGUGUUUACUUCACCGUACGGUGACGACAUGGUUGUAUCGCACGACCACAAAUUCUUCCCUCUCUGAGAAACUCGUCCCGUCUCUGAAAGCAUGACUCGGACAUAUUUAUAGCUUCAUUUAUAAAUACGUUUGAUUGACAGGCCGGACAACUUCUCUUAGACUUCCACUGUAAUGGAAAUGGAUGAGAAAAUACUUGAGAGGGUAUUUCUUAAAGCCUGUGUUGUUAUCGUUCUGCUUUUACUCGAUGGUUGGAUCUAAAAACCAAAAGACGAACACACCCAUCCCAGCGACAUGUCCGGCUCUGCCCUUGUUCCUCUCUUUUGUCCAGUUGCAAAAUGCGUUUCGAUAAUGAUACAAAUUCAACUUUAAGUAUAAACCAGAUAACAGCCGGGCUAAAACUCCAUCAUAUCCAAAUCAGUUGUGCUUUUACUGAUUAUACCGGACUCUCUUACGCUCUCGUCUUUGAUUCUAGUCUUGCCUAGGGGGUUCGACACAUCUGAGCUGGCGUAUGACGCAUGUGUGCAAAUUUCCUGCCAAUUCCGGCCAGACACCCUGGCGUAGCUCUGACUGUGAAUUACUAUUACAGGACUGUCAGCGUGACACACGGCAGCUCAGGAAGCACUCAACUGGAUGAUCUACGUUGCAUAAAGUGCCUUUCAGAGGACUUUUAUAAACGCGGGAGGAAAACGGCGGCUUUUAGGCUUGCCGCAACACUUCCUCCUUCCCCGUCGGCGCUAGGUAAAAUUAAUCGGUCAGUCACAGAUACGUGUUUUUUCCGGUCCGGCGACACAAAUGGUGUGUGAAAUCCGGUAGUGGAUCAGGUGACGGCACGCAGCCGUCACUGCUCAUCCGUUAAUGAGUUCAAAUUACCACUAGACGUUAUUAGCGAUGACGAACAAGAUGUGAACCUCGAAGAUUAAUUGAGCAUGAUAUGAGUCGGGGCAAGAUUAGAAUUUCAGUUGAGCGGAAAAUUAAUAUAUAUAAGUUGAUCUUUAUAUCCUUAUUUUCAUGCACAUGGGAUGUUGAGGCCCAAAAGAAGCAUACCUUUACAUUAAAAUAUGCUUCUUUUAAAUAGGUGGCUUCACGGUGCCUCUCUCAUCUCCCCUUUAAACGUGCAAAUAAUAAUUAAAAAAUGGCGAAUUAGUCUUCCCAAUUAAUAAUUAGACCGUGCUGGUUUUAACGGGGCUCAAUUUAGUUACACAUAUUUUAUAUAUAUAUAUAUAUACACACACAAAUAUUUUGGCUUGAUGUAUUCCAAACACAGUCAAACGAUUGUAAAUAUAUCCAAUGGUGUGAUAUUUUUAUUUAUUUAUUUAUUUAUUUUUUAGAUCCAAGUUUCAGUGUUCUGCAAAUAACGCCAAGCGCUGCUUCCUGAGUACUCAUCAGCCCAAAUUGCCAUAUUGACUGAUUAAGAGAAAUUAAGUUGGCUAAUUUUGCCGGAAGUCUAUCUCCUUAGCAAAGUACCGAAACGCUAACCUAGCGACGUACAGGAUGUGAGUGUCGAGCACUCCUCCAUGCUCUUUUACUUAAAGUAGGGGUAUGACUACAUAGCCACACCCUUGUCCCAAAAUCUCACAAUGUAGGAAGUUGUCAUUUUUUCAUGUCUGGAUUAAAAAGGCACCGGAUGUCCAAAACUGAAUUAUAAUCCUCAUGAUCCUGAACGUUCAGUGAACGGAUCGGACGACCGAUCGUGACUGAUGUUAUCAUGGAAGUUAUAGAAGACAAUGAUUUCACAAUCCUGAUUAUCUACAGUAGGGAUGCACUUUUAUAGCGCCUUUUAACCUUAGCGAUUGUACAAAGGACUUUACACGUUCUCAUUCAGCCUUUCAGACACCAAUGCGCUAGCCUGCCGUCGGGAGCAGGGAGACUGCGGCAUAUUGAGGGGCUGGGGAUUGAAUGGCCAACUCUGCGAUUAGUGGACAGCCUACUCUACCACCUGAGCCACAGCCGCCGCAUAUUGUGUAGUUCCCCUUGUGAUACCAAAAUGACCCGUCAAGACACGGACUCCGAAAGACCUCUGAAGGUGUUGGCAGCAGAUCCUUCAAGUCCUAUAAUUUGCGAGGUGAGGCCUCCAUGGAUCUCCAUCUCACAGAUGCGCGAUCGGAUUGAGAUCUGGGCAAUUCGGAGGCCGAGUCAACACCUUGAACUCUUUG